rnacentral:rRNA from 1 species
UACAGAGGGCGCAAGCGUUGUCCGGAUUUAUUGGGCGUAAAGGGCGCGUAGGCGGCGCGGUAAGUCGGGUGUGAAAUCUCGGAGCUUAACUCCGAAACUGCAUUCGAUACUGCCGUGCUUGAGGACUGGAGAGGAGACUGGAAUUUACGGUGUAGCGGUGAAAUGCGUAGAUAUCGUAAGGAAGACCAGUGGCGAAGGCGGGUCUCUGGACAGUUCCUGACGCUGAGGCGCGAAGGUCAGGGGAGCGAACGGG